rnacentral:tRNA from 2 species
GGCGGGGUAGCUCAGUCGGUUAGAGCGGGCGUCUCAUAAGCGCCAGGUCGCGGGUUCGAUUCCCGCCUCCGCCA